AUUGAACGCUGGCGGCAGGCCUAACACAUGCAAGUCGAGCGAGCGGCGGACGGGUGAGGAAUGUAUGGGGACUGCCCGAUGGAGGGGGAUAACGGCUGGAAACGGUAGCUCAUACCGCAUACUAUCGGGUAAGCCAUAUGGGAUUAGCUAGUAGGUGAGGUAAUGGCUCACCAAGGGGACGAUCCCUAGCUGGUCUGAGAGGAUGAUCAGCCACACUGGGACUGAGACACGGCCCAGACUCCUACGGAGGCAGCAGUGGGGAAUAUUGGACAAUGGGCGCAAGCCUGAUGCAGCCAUGCCGCGUGUAUGAAGAAGGCCCUAGGGUUGUAAAGUACUUUCAGUCGGGAGGCGUUACCGACAGAAGAAGCACCGGCUAACUCCGUGCCAGCAGCCGCGGUAAUAC
rnacentral:rRNA from 1 species